CCUCGAGCAGAUCUGACAGCGCCAGGGCUGUAAAGGCAUCGCUGCAGUUCUGCUCUGACACCCGGACAUAACACUGCAGGACACAAACUGCUUUUCCACUCAGUGCUGAAUGAUCCAAUCUCUACACUAAGGACCCUCCAGCAGCAGCAGCAGCAGCACAACUCUCAGUAGCUCUGGAUCCUCACAGCUGUAGUAGCCAAAGAUGCAGACAGUCACCUAGUGGGAAAUCUGGAACUUUUCUACUUUCCUGUAGCCUUAAAACGCUGAAUGGAGAAGAGGAAAAGAGGAACUGAGGACCUCCAAAAAGGGGAUGGUGAAAAGUUCUGUGCUAAGUGGGCUCCAGUAGCUGGGGUGCCAGAUUAAUUUUUUACUGUUCAGAUAUGACUGUAUAUAUGCUGGUGCCCAGGUUCCUACACAGAAGCAGAACAGCUUUGUCAGAGAGGAAAAGUUUCUUCCUGUGCUGGAGCUGAGUUCAGAGCAGGAGGGCAUGCGCGGAGCCGUGAAUCAUAACAUAGAAUCAUAGACUGGGUUGAAAAGGACCAUAACGACUGUCUAGUUUCAACCCCCCUGCUACGUACAGGGUCGCCAAUCAUGACAAGGAAUCCUGCCGAGCUGACAGCCUGCAGAGCCGGGGAGGGAGAGAGGAAGGGAAAAGAGGAACUCUGCUUAUGUGAACACUUGGCAGGUGCUGCUCGUUCCAUUGUCACAGCUGAUCCCUUCAGCAUAAUCUGUAGCAACAAGUGAAAGAGAUCACAAUCUGCACACUGAAAUCCUCCGUUCUCCCUGGCACUGCCCAUGGACACAUUUAGAUUUUCUCCACUUUUUCCCCAGUUGAGCCCAUUUCAAAUCAUGGUGCUCUCAGCUGCUGCCCACUGCAUGAAACCAACACGGCCUUUGUAAACAAAGCCAUGCAAAUACACACGGGCUGUACUAACAAAAUGAAACACAGCAUUUGCAGAAGUGCAUGCAGAUAUUUACCAAGUUGUGCAUUUUACUUCUGUAUUUCUGUAACUGAGAGAAGAAGGAACAGCGUUAUGUUUAAUAUUUUUAUACUUCCGACAGUAAUUCAAAUACUAGGAAGAGGAAUGUCUUACAACACCUCACCUCGUGGACAUGUUGUGCUGUCCAAGGAAGAGCAAGGAAGCUUUUUUAUCCAUAGAAAUGCCAUUUGUGAGUUGCUGCCUCACCAAAAUGGUUUGUACUUUCCAAGUCUCAGAUAACCAGUUUAAUGUUUAAAGUCAGUGUCAAGAUGCUGCUGUUGGUGUCUGUCCAGGUGAGGGAUCUAACAGAUCUGCCGUUGUAUUAAAAAUACCCCAGAAAAACUUGUAGUGUAAGCUAGAACAAAAAGCCUUUAAUUGCUUUACAAUAGACUUGAAAGUGUAUACCACAUCAGUGGAUGGAAAAAAAGUAUCACUAAGGGUGUGAUGACAGUUCUGUAUCUAUUUUUGUUCCAACAUAUAUUUCUGUCUAUUAGGGCACAUUUCUCGGAUCUUACUUUUUCCUUCCAUGUUCACCUUCUGCAGCUUUCUUUGCAGAACACGGUGGGAACUGAAAAGGAAUUCAGGUAUUCCACACAGUCUGAAUGGAAGAAUUUUGCUGUGGUAUGCCUUUAGAUUGGGCUUCUAUGGUUAACCUUCACAAAUCUCUCACUUCCUCCUCACUUCUUAUUCCUUAAUAACAUUUUCACUAUGAACACCGUUAUAUUGAACUGCUGUAGUCAAAACAGAACCUAAAAGAUUUUAACACAGACUCAAAACAAUGAUUCCUCCUCUUCCUCCCUCUCCAUCUCAGGCAGUGGUGAUAUGCCCACAAAUUACUCAGGGAAUGUAUUAAUGUACUAGGGGGAGAGUAAGAGCUUUUGCCUUCUCUUGCCUUUAAAAGGCUGAGAUCUGUUAGAUUCAGUUUGCUGUGAAAGGUUUUGCAAUGAUUACGUGCACUGUAGACCUCAGUAACUUUCUCCAAAGUACUUCCUGAACAUCACGGCACUCUUCUAGCUGCGGUUUGCUCGCCUGACAACUCCUAUCUACUUUUUGCUUUUUUCCUCCACGUUUUUUCCUCCCCUGAAGUGUAGCCCAAUAAACACAGAUAAAAGGAA